AAAUAAUAAUAUGAAAAAGGGACAGUUUAAAGCUGUAGUUGUUUCGAUGAUAUUUGGGCUUCUGUUACUUUGCAGUUGUCUUGCAAUCAAGUUGUUAAACCUCACUGGACCAUGGAUUGUGGCUCUGAGUUGGGUUCUGAUGGCUUUGAUGAAGUAUUGUUUUUCAGAGUUAACCAUAAAACCAGUUACUAACGAGAUAUUAAAUAGGAUUUCUAAAUGGUUGGAGUAAAAAGAAGUCUCCAAAACUGACCUGAAGAAUUCAACUAAGAAGAAUCUGACCUGAUGAUUUCGACUCAUGAAUAAUUUGGAUUUUUUUAAAUUAAAUUACUUUCUGAAUUUGAGUAUUCAUUAUAAAAUAAAAAAAAAUUGUAAUCAAA